rnacentral:rRNA from 1 species
UACGUAGGGGGCGAGCGUUAUCCGGAAUUAUUGGGCGUAAAGAGUACGUAGGUGGUUUUGUAAGCGUGGGGUGAAAGACCGAAGCUUAACUUCGGUUAGCCUUGCGAACUGCAGGACUUGAGUGCAGGAGAGGAAAGUGGAAUUCCUAGUGUAGCGGUGAAAUGCGUAGAUAUUAGGAGGAACACCAGUGGCGAAGGCGACUUUCUGGACUGUAACUGACACUGAGGUACGAAAGCGUGGGUAGCAAACAGGAUUAGAUACCCGCGUAGUCCCUGAGCGGGCU